rnacentral:rRNA from 1 species
AACGCGAAGAACCUUACCUGGGCUUGACAUGCUAGGAUUAUCCCUGUGAAAGCAGGGUAGGCCCUUCGGGGUACAACUAGUACAGGUGUUGCAUGGCUGUCGUCAGCUCGUGUCGUGAGAUGUCGGGUUAAGUCCCUUAACGAGCGAAACCUUUGCCCUUAGUUACCAUCGGGUUAUGCCGGGGACUCUAAAGGGACUGCCGGUGUCAAACCGGAGGAAGGUGGAGAUGACGUCAAGUCCUCAUGGCCUUUAUGCCCAGGGCCACACACGUGCUACAAUGGGGUGCACAAAGCGAACCUAAACCGCGAGGUUAUGGAAAUCGCAAAAAUCAUCCCCCAGUUCAGAUCGGAGGCUGCAACUCGCCUCCGUGAAGUUGGAAUCGCUAGUAAUCGCGGAUCAGCUACGCCGCGGUGAAUGUGUUCCCGGCCUUGUACACACCGUAGUAC